rnacentral:rRNA from 1 species
UACGGGGGGGGCAAGCGUUGUUCGGAAUUACUGGGCGUAAAGGGCUCGUAGGCGGCCAACUAAGUCAGACGUGAAAUCCCCAGGCUCAACUUGGGAACUGCGUCUGAUACUGGAUGGCUUGAAUUCGGGAGAGGGAUGCAGAAUUCCAGGUGUAGCGGUGAAAUGCGUAGAUAUCUGGAGGAAGACCGGUGGCGAAGGCGGCAGCCUGGACAGUUCCUGACACUGAGGCACGAAGGCGAGGGGAGCAAACGGG